GGAUUAAUGAAGAGCAGCAGGAACGCCCGGGGCGCUCAGCUCUGCUCAGCCAUGGACAAGCUGCCGUUGACUCUGAAACGCACCAUUAACGCAGGGGUCCCUUUGUACAGGCUUGGCAAACGCAGGGGGAGAGAAGCCCCAGGGGAGCGGGAGGAAGGAGAGCAGGAAUCUCUCUUGGCUAAGGGGCCUCUGGGCUUGUGUGUUUUGGGUGGCAAUGGCCCAAACCUUGUCCUAGCCCAGCCAUAAACCUGCCCCAGGCCCCGAUUUCCCUGCCUUUCGCCUGUCUUUGCGGAGGCACCCUCGGGAGCAUGGUGAGGCUGGGGGAGUGGGUAAAGACUGUCACUUAACCUGACACUGGCCACCCACCACUCCCUGGCGUCCGGGCUGGGGGAUGUGGUGUCCAGGUCUCUGCUCCUUUCCUGUGUGCAACUGCCUGGUUCUGGCAUCCCCUCGGGGCCGUCGGAAAGUGUCCCAGAACUCUUGGGUUGGAAGAGCUGCUGUCUCCAUCUCACCAAGGCACAGCGAUUCUCCCUGGGGGAAAGGCCAUUGCACAAGGAGCCACUCUACGGAACUGGGAGGACCUUGAGCCGGGAAGCUUUCGUUGUCCUGAGGUCUCACUACCUACCUAACCCGGGCCAUCAGACAGCCCUGAAUUCAUUCCUGCUUGAACCAGAGCAGAGCGUCAAGAAAAACAUCCCCUCUUGAUAUAAAACUGCCAGCGAUGGAGAAUCCACCACAAUCCUUGGUGUGAAGAGCCCAGUAGCCUAAUCUGCGAUGGGCCAAAGGACACACACACAGAGUGAAUAGACAGCAACGUGCCCUCACCUGUCUCUUCCUCCCCAUCCUUUCCCUGUGAUGGAAAGAGCCCUGCUCGGAUGCG